CCCCUAGACGUUCUGGGCUGCACGCGCGCUACAAUAAUACGCACAGCGAGUAUCACCGAGCUCGAAAGGGCAAGGUAAACAAUAGAAAAGGUACUGUAAUGGUUAUAGAUCCUUGUAAUUAUUGAUCUUCAACGAGGAAUUCCUAGUAAGUAUGUGUCAUCAUCACGCACUGAUUACGUCCCUGCCCUUUGUACACACCGCCCGUCGCUCCUACCGAUUGAGUGUUCCGGUGAAUAAUUCGGACUGCAGCAGCGUGGGGACUCCUCAUACUGCAGCGGAAAGUUUGGUGAACCUUAACACUUAGAGGAAGGAGAAGUCGUAACA
rnacentral:rRNA from 1 species